GUCAUCUGAGGUGGUAGAGAUCAUGUUCACCAUGAUUCUUCAACGUGGAUGCCCACAGCGGAUACUGACAGAUCGUGGUGCAGAAUUCAAUAAUACGCUUAACUUGUAUGUUUGUAAUAAAUUGGGAAUAGAACGUAGCUUCACCAGUCCAUACCACCCACAAACCAAUGGCUUGGCUGAAAACGCUAAUAAAUCCAUAAAAAGAGCACUGCGGAAGAUGGUUGAUGACAAUGGGAGUAAUUGGGAUAAAUUACUUGAACCCAUUUUGUUUUAUUUGCGAACUAAAAUACAUGCAACAACAAAAAUUUCACCUUUCCGACUAAUGUUUGGUGAUGAUGUAGUGUUUCCAGAAGAUGUCUUAGAGAAUUACACGGUAAGUGUAUGUUAUUCCCAGCACCUUUCAUGUACACAUGGCAUUCUGUGUGCCUUCAUUUUACAAAUACAACCACUUCUCCAUUUGUUUACA